UCCUUUAUUAGUCCAUGCUGGGGAAUAGAGGGGUUUGGGGUUGCUUGUGUGACACCCGAGUUCUGCUGCACAACAAAUAUACUUGAGAGGCUUUGUCGUAUAUAACCCACUUGAAGCGAGAGCAUUCAGGUAAGGAAAUGAAGGGCUGCAGGGCUCAGCUGUGCAAGAGGAAAAUAAUUAGGGCAUGUUUAUCUCAUGCUCAAGCCUGCAGAGGUGAAAAGCAAGGGAUGGGAAGGCUGCUUCAGAGGGAGCUGGGAGUGGGGAGGGCAAGACAGAAAGGACCUGACAAGGGAGUGAAUUAAACUUCUCCAAAAGACUCAGAUCGUUGGGAUAAAUUCCCCCCUCCCUCCCUGUUUCUGCUCUAAUGGAGGAUGAGCUCUGCCUUGCUGGCUUUUCUUUUCAAGGUCUCAGAACCUGUUGUUUUCAAAAGGUUAAAGCCCUCGAGCUACUGAGGGAAGGGAACACUCUUUAAAAGAUGUCAGGUGAAGAACAUCUAGAUUUCUAGGGGUUUCAGGUUUGCUAGCAUAAAAAGCAAAAAUAGAUUCCAAAUGUGAAAUAAACCUUUGGUUCUUUUAUUUUCCUUCCUUUUUUUUUUUUUUCUCUAAACACAGCUGAGUCCUGGCUCUGAAGAGGGUCCUGCCUCCCUCCCAGACACGAAGAUCUGAGUGCACACAUGGUUAAGCUGGGUAAAACAGCUCCAGGGAGCCAUGGCUGUCCCAGGCCAGGUGAUGGAGACUGCAUCAGAGCAAAGGAGGGCUGUGCCUCUUCUUGGACUGUCUUGGACAGAAGGGAUGAGAGUUGCCACAUGUACCUUUCUCUGCUGGAAAUUGGUCUUCCAAGUGGUGAAAUCUGCAGAAAUUCCUGUUUAUCCCCAGAGCAUCCUCUCUGACCUGGGAGAUGGGAGAGAAGUGCCUGGAGGAGGAGGGAGAUUGUGUCCCUUGGAGACAGGAGGCUCAGGAAAGGACAGCAAAUCCUGAAACUCGUGCAGCAGCCCCUUCUCCAGCUCCUUUCUCUUCUCUGGACACGCUCCAGCCCCUCAAUGUCCUUCCUGCUGGGGUCCCAAACAACCCAGGAUGUGAAGAGUGGUCUCACAGUGUGUCUGUCACUGCCCUGGUCCUGUGUCACCUUCCUGGGCACUGAUCCAGCUCUGACCCUGGUCCUGAGCUGUCCUGGUGUGUCCUGUGUCCCUUCCAGCUCCCUGCUGCCCUGGGCCCCUCUGCACCUUUCCUUGUGCGUGCUUAUUUUAACUAUGCUGUGGUCAAAGCACUAAAAAACAUUGAAUAAAAAGAGUUAUUUGGUUUCUCCA
rnacentral:lncRNA from 1 species